UGAACAUUGACAAUUCGAACGCACAUUGCGGCCCUAG
rnacentral:rRNA from 1 species